CCUACGGGUGGCAGCAGUGAGGAAUAUUGGUCAAUGGACGAGAGUCUGAACCAGCCAAGUAGCGUGAAGGAUGACUGCCCUAUGGGUUGUAAACUUCUUUUAUAUGGGAAUAAAAUGUUCCACGUGUGGGAUUUUGUAUGUACCAUAUGAAUAAGGAUCGGCUAACUCCGUGCCAGCAGCCGCGGUAAUACGGAGGAUCCGAGCGUUAUCCGGAUUUAUUGGGUUUAAAGGGAGCGUAGGUGGAUUGUUAAGUCAGUUGUGAAAGUUUGCGGCUCAACCGUAAAAUUGCAGUUGAAACUGGCAGUCUUGAGUACAGGAGAGGUGGGUGGAAGUCGUGGUGUAGCGGUGAAAUGCUGAGAUAUCACGAAGAACUCCGAUUGCGAAGGCAGUUCACUGGACUGCAACUGACACUGAGGCUCGAAAGUGUGGGUAUCAAACAGGAGUAGAGACCCCGGUAGUC
rnacentral:rRNA from 1 species